AUGUGUUCUUAUGGUUGCGCCACAUUUUGGGGAGAAUAUGGUUGUGAUUUUUUCUAUGGAUGGUACCGACGGUCUUGUUCGUGGUCAACCAUUUUAAACAUUGGAUCUUCUAUUACUGAACCCCGUCAACAUAUGAAUUUUGGACAUAACAAAAAAUUGCAUUCUUGUGGAUGGAUCGAAGAGGGAUGGACUUCAUAAUUCUCGUUGAGUGAUGUAAGACUUGUGGCCUAAUUUGAGCAUGUAAAUUACAGUAAUAUAUGCUAGCAAAAUGGGAAAAAAGGAGGUUGGUUUCAGCAAUUAAGAGGAUCUUUGCAGAUAGCUCCAAGGAGAAAGUGGCUUAUGAUGUCAUGUUGAAUCACAUGGGGAACAUAGUUGGAGGCGAACAUAUGCUUUUGCCCGCAUUGGGAAGUUCAGAUUCAGAAACCACCCAAACAGAGUUGGAGGCCAACAUAUGAUUUUGCCCGCAUUGCUAAUAAUUAUUAUUCUCAAUUGUUUAAUCUUGUCACAAUUAUGUACACUUUUGAGCUUUAUUUUAUUUUAUAUUUUUGGAGAUUACAAUUGAUGUAAAUGUGAAUUUUUUUUUUGUAAUUUUACGAAUUAUUUGGAAUUACCAAAUUGGUUAAAUGCUGA